CCGAGAAAUGACAACAAUCCUCCGGUGUUGUGUCGAACCGACGAGACUCUACCAACAGAUAACAGAAACAUCGCUGCAGCAAGACCGGCUCAAUCGAUCGAUCCAUCGAUCGAUCCAUCCAUCGAUCGAUCAAGGAGUAAGGAAUGUAAUACUACACUUCAGAUGGUCAUCUGACACCCCAGUGAGCCACCACAGCACAGUGUCACUGAAAAGUGUUCUGUCAUUGUGGUCACACAUGGCAACACUGACUGCACGGGAACAGCAGAGCUGCUGGGCUUCAAGACAAACUAGUGUAGAGAAGAAAUAAAGUGGAGCAAUGCUGUGACUAAUUCUUUAUCCACUGCGCAAAAUGGCUGAGUGGAUAGUUUGUUGCUGUGGCUCCUCGGAGAAAAACAGGACAGCAGCUGGAUGACUGUACCAGUGCAAAGGGCAGAAAGUGUGGACAGUUUCUGGUGAUGACACAUCAUCACCCAGCAAAACUCCCCCCUAACUCCUCCGAGCGGCAUGGAUUGAAGAGAUGCCCUCAUUGUUUGUGUUGCUCUGCAGUUUGUUAUAAUGACGACUUGUCUGAAAACUCCUUUCUGGGAAGCCGGACAAUGUCUGAAACCUGACAAGUGCAGCCGUAGCUCAGAAGUGACCAACAUAAUGUUUGUACCAUGAAAAACUGAUAUGGUAAUGUUGUAAUCCAAUUAAUUAAAUAUAUGUUUUCUGAAGUCA